rnacentral:rRNA from 1 species
UUGUUGCGGUUAGAAAGCUCGUAGUUGGAUUUCUGUUGAGGAUGACCGGUCCGCUCUUUGAGCGCGUAUCUGGUUCAGCCUUGGCAUCCUCUUGGGGAACGCUACUGUGCUUGAUUGCAUGGGGCGGUAUUCAAGACUUUUACUUUGAGGAAAUUAGAGUGUUCACUGCAAGCGUUAGCAAUUGAAUACAUUAGCAUGGAAUAAUAAUAUAGGACCUUGGUACUAUUUUGUUGGUUUCUAGAACUAAGGUAAUGAUUAAUAGGGACAAUUGGGGGCAUUCGUAUUAACGCGUCAGAGGUGGAAUUCUUAGAUUGCGUUACGACGAACUACUGCGAAAGCAUUUGCCAAGGAUGUUUUCAUUGAUCAAGAGCGAAAGUAUGGGGAUCGAAGACGCUUAGAUACCGUCGUAGUCUAUACCAUAAACUAUGCCAACUAGAGAUUGGAGGUCGUUCUCUUUAUGACUCCUUCAGCACCUUAUGAGAAAUCAAAGUCUUUGGGUUCCGGGGGGAGUAUGGUCGCAAGGCUGAAACUUAAAGGAAUUGACGGAAGGGCACCACAAGUUGUGGAUCCUGUGGCUUAAUUUGACUCCACACGGGA